UACGAGGGGGGCAAGCGUUGUUCGGAAUUAUUGGGCGUAAAGGGCGCGUAGGCGGUGCGGUAAGUCACCUGUGAAAACUCUGGGCUCAACUCAGAGCCUGCAGGCGAAACUGCCGUGCUUGAGUGUGGGAGAGGUGCGUGGAAUUCCCGGUGUAGCGGUGAAAUGCGUAGAUAUCUGGAGGAACACCGGUGGCGAAGGCGGCGUCCUGGACCAACACUGACACUGAUGAGCGAAAGCCAGGGGAGCAAACGGG
rnacentral:rRNA from 1 species